UACCAGCACCCCGAGUGGUCGGGACGUUUAUUUGGGCCUAAAGCAUCCGUAGCCGGUUCUACAAGUCUUCCGUUAAAUCCAACUGCUUAACAGGUGGGCUGCGGAAGAUACUAUAGAGCUAGGAGGCGGGAGAGGCAAGCGGUACUCGAUGGGUAGGGGUAAAAUCCGUUGAUCCAUUGAAGACCACCAGUGGCGAAGGCGGCUUGCCAGAACGCGCUCGACGGUGAGGGAUGAAAGCUGGGGGAGCAAACCGG
rnacentral:rRNA from 1 species